rnacentral:lncRNA from 1 species
GGCAAAUUCCUCCUUGGCGACUCCCUCCGCGUGAGAGCAACCUCCGCGGCGCAAAAGCCUAGCGAAGGAGCUAACCGCAGCCAAAGCCCCAAAAUCAACAGCACCUCCGACAAAGUCGGGGAGCAUGCGGAUAUGAGACUUCAGCCACGCGAGAGCAGCCCCAACAUCGCCGCCGGGCGGAGGAGCAGAGGUGCUUCCCCCAAACUUCGCAAGCGAGUCGGCAUAGAGCCCGACAAUAGCU